CCUGGUGGCUCAGCUGGUAAAGAAUCUGCCUGCAAUGCAGGAGACCCAGGUUCAAUCCCUGGGUCAGGA
rnacentral:tRNA from 1 species